rnacentral:rRNA from 1 species
AGAGUUUGAUCAUGGCUCAGAACGUACGCUGGCGGCACGCCUAACACAUGCAAGUCGAACGAAGUAGCAAUACUUAGUGGCAGACGGGUGAGUAACAUGUAGGUAUCUGCCCUUUGGCCUGGAAUAACACGAGGAAACUUGUGCUAAUACCGGAUAAGUCUUUACGGAGAAAGCUUUAUGCACCAUUGGAUGAGCCUGCACUUGAUUAGUUUGUUGGUGGGGUAAUGGCCUACCAAGACUGUGAUCAAUAGCUGAUUUGAGAGGAUGAUCAGCCACAUUGGGACUGAGACACGGCCCAAACUCCUACGGGAGGCAGCAGUGGGGAAUCUUGCACAAUGGAGGAAACUCUGAUGCAGCGAUGCCGCGUGAGUGAAGAAGGCCCUUGGGUUGUAAAGCUCUUUCGUCGGGGAAGAAAAUGACUGUACCCGAAUAAGAAGGUCCGGCUAACUUCGUGCCAGCAGCCGCGGUAAUACGAAGGGACCUAGCGUAGUUCGGAAUUACUGGGCUUAAAGAGUUCGUAGGUGGUUGAAAAAGUUAGUGGUGAAAUCCCAGAGCUUAACUCUGGAACUGCCAUUAAAACUUUUCAGCUAGAGUAUGAUAGAGGAAAGCAGAAUUUCUAGUGUAGAGGUGAAAUUCGUAGAUAUUAGAAAGAAUACCAACUGCGAAGGCAGCUUUCUGGAUCAUUACUGACACUGAGGAACGAAAGCAUGGGUAGCGAAGAGGAUUAGAUACCCUCGUAGUCCAUGCCGUAAACGAUGUGUGUUAGACGUUGGAAAUUUAUUUUCAGUGUCGCAGGGAAACCGAUAAACACACCGCCUGGGGAGUACGACCGCAAGGUUAAAACUCAAAUGAAUUGACGGGGACCCGCACAAGUAGUGGAGCAUGUGGUUUAAUUCGAAGAUACGCGCAGAACCUUACCAACACUUGACAUGUUCGUCGCGACUCUGAGAGAUCAGAGUUUUCGGUUCGGCCGGACGAAACACAGGUGCUGCAUGGCUGUCGUCAGCUCGUGUCGUGAGAUGUUGGGUUAAGUCCCGCAACGAGCGCAACCCUCACUUUUAGUUGCCAUCAUUAAGUUGGGCACUCUGAAAGAACUGCCAGUGAUAAGCUGGAGGAAGGUGGGGAUGACGUCAAGUCCUCAUGGCCCUUACGUGUUGGGCUACACACGUGCUACAAUGGUAUCUACAACAGGAAGCAAAACUGCGAAGUUAAGCAAAUCCCUAAAAGAUACCUCAGUUCGGAUUGCACUCUGCAACUCGAGUGCAUGAAGCUGGAAUUACUAGUAAUCGUGGAUCAGCGUGCCACGGUGAAUGCGUUCCCGGGUCUUGUACACACCGCCCGUCACACCAUGGGAGUUGGUUCUACCUUAAGGCAAGGUUUCAAACCCUUGACCACGGUAUAGUCAGCGACUGGGGUGAAGUCGUAACAAGGUA